CCGCGGGGAACAAUAGCCGCCGCCUCCCCGGGGCGGCCGGGCGAUAGCGCGGCACAAAGGCCGGCUCCGCGCCGCGCCACCAUGUGACGCGCGCGCUCGUUCCGCGCUCUCCGGCCUGCAGCCGGGCGCAGUCAGCAGAGAGCCGGAGCGGCCAGGCUGCCUCAAUCCACCUGGCACACUUUCCGAAAGACAAACGCGGUUCCUCCUACUUCAGAGCAAGUCUGGGCCAGCUGGGAGCCGACCAGAAACCGCAAGCAGAGGAGACACAGGCACCCGGGGUGAGCGCUCACGGAGGGCGCGACCCGCUGCCCCACGCUCUGCGGCGCGAGGCCGGACACCCCCCCACUCCCUGUCCUCCCGGUCGCCUGCCGGCCCCGCCUCCGGACCCCUUGCAGCCCACGGUUCUCCCAAGGGGCGGCCCCCGCGCCCGCCCCAGACGCACGGAGACUGUAUACCCUGCCCCCCCCCUCCUGCUCCCCGCCCCCCGUCACACCCUUAGCGCAGCUGUACCCCUGGAAAGGGAAGAGGAAAAUCCCAGGUUUUGCAGACACUAUGUAAGAGUCUUAAAAAAAAAAAAAAAAAAAAAAAAAAAAAAAAAAAAAAAGAUUCCCAGGGGACUAGAAUUCAGGGACGGGGCGGAGCUAGUUUAGUUCUCUUAUCUACCUGCAGGAGUCAUUUAUUUGGAAGGAAGCAAGGGUAUCCCUGUUAAACUUGGAACUAAACCUGAAUGCCAUAUAAAAAGAACAAUAAAAAUACACGUAAAAUGCCAACCAUAA